rnacentral:rRNA from 1 species
UACAGAGGUCUCAAGCGUUGUUCGGAUUCAUUGGGCGUAAAGGGUGUGUAGGUGGCGCCGUAAGUGGGGUGUGAAAUUUCGGAGCUUAACUCCGAAACUGCAUUCCAUACUGCGGUGCUUGAGGACUGGAGAGGAGACUGGAAUUUACGGUGUAGCAGUGAAAUGCGUAGAUAUCGUAAGGAAGACCAGUGGCGAAGGCGGGUCUCUGGACAGUUCCUGACACUGAUGCGCGACAGCGUGGGGAGCAAACAGG